CCCACCCCCCCCAACUUCGGCCGAUGGGGCCGCUGCCGCCGAACCCCGAGCUGCUGGCUUCUCAAACUCCGCCGCUCCUUGGUUCAGGGCCCCUUAAUCAGACGAGCCCCCCGCUCCCCCGUCUCUUCAAAAUGGAUGAAUCAAACCAGCCGAAAAUGCGCCAAAGCCGCCGUGCAACCGAACCCACUAGGGCUUCCAGGCUCCGCCCCAACAGGCCUGACCAUUGGUGGGUUCUGCCAGAUGCGUGGAGCUCAUUAGUCCGUUUGAAUCAUCACGUCUUCCAAGCCCCGCCCCCUCUGAUAGGCUCCGCCUCCUCCGUGGGGUCCUGUUAGUCAAGCUGCUUUGAGAGUACAUGGCCGCAAAACAAAAAUGGUCGCGGCUCGGUUUCCACUCCGCCCCCUGGCUUCCACUCCGGAGUUGCAGAUUCGUCUUGGGUCGCAUCUUGGAACGACAAGAAAAAAAAAUUAUAUAGGGUUCAAUAUCGUUUAGUUUCAGUUUAAUGAUGUUUCAUUUCGCCUGCUUUGAUAAUUGUAGAAACUCCACUAAUAGCAAAACCUGGGGCACAGGCAGCUGAUUCGUCACUGAGGGGCUGUUUCAGAAUUGGAGGGAAAUUCCAUAGGUUCAAAUAAUUUGACCUUAAACCCACAAACCCCUUUUCCUGGCCUCGGAAUGCUGCUGGAGUAGAGCCAGUGUUGGUGGGCCUCCUCCAAUUAGCUGAAAGUCUAAACAGAACAAAAGGCUGACCUUGUCCUGAGUAAGAACUCUCCUAUUUGGUGGACUUCCGCGCUCCUGCCAGCUCUCUCAGCCUGCCAGUCUGGGGACUGAACUAGGACACCAGCUCUGCAGACGCACCAGUCUCCAUAACAUUCCCAGAGCUGCAAGGAACAGAUCUAUUUGGGGGUACCAUUCCAACUGAUGUCAUUUGCAGCAUUUUGCAUCAAGGUGUUAACCCAGAAACCUGCAAACCUACCUUCACCCCAGUGGUAGGGAGACUGAAAAAAACCCUAAUGUGAGAAUUAAUUUUUCUGUGGAAGGAAAUGCUCUCAUCAUAUGAUAGGUAAUUCAAAUAACUGACUCUUCUUUAAAGUCAGGAAAAAAUAUCUAACUAUGACUACAAGCUUCAGAAAUAGUGACUUUUAGGUGUCUUCCAGUAGUCUAAGAUCCCCAGAUAUCCUUUUGUAUCCCCCCUCCUUUAGCAUCUCAGAAUCAGAGCCCAAGACAGAAAGAACCUGAAAAUAAUGACCGACAAGGAAUUUGGGAAAUAAAUAA